rnacentral:rRNA from 1 species
UGGGGAAUCUUGCACAAUGGGGGCAACCCUGAUGCAGCGACGCCGCGUGAGCGAUGAAGCCCUUCGGGGCGUAAAGCUCUUUCGACCGGAACGAUAAUGACGGUACCGGGAGAAGAAGCUGCGGCUAACUACGUGCCAGCAGCCGCGGUAAUACGUAGGCAGCAAGCGUUGUUCGGAGUUACUGGGCGUAAAGAGUGCGUAGGCGGUUUUCUAAGUUCGGUGUGAAAUCUCCCGGCUUAACUGGGAGGGUGCGCCGAAGACUGGGAAGCUGGAGUGGGGGAAAGGCAGGCGGAAUUCCUGGUGUAGCGGUGAAAUGCGUAGAUAUCAGGAGGAACACCGGCGGUGUAGACGGCUUGCUAGACCAUAACUGACGCUGAGGCACGAAAGCGUGGGUAGCAAACA